CUUUUGGUGCGGCCAACCGACAUGGGGCUGUCUCUUCACUCUCCCUCCCGUCAUUUUAAUUUGUCGGGGSUGGGAUGCUUGUGGUCGGUAGCCUGUGUAGUUGUACCCUGCUGUGGGUAGCGAAGUUGUCCCYCGAUUGAAUAUUUGCUUGCCUAUYUNACAUUUUUUUUGUCGUUUGGGAGCCGUAAWGACGGCAAAAUCCUUGUGCAGGUGCGUGGUCGAAUGSCCUUCUUGCUAUCNCCNGGAUUUUUGUCNCCUCUCACAGAUGCAGNGCCUAGUGNUGGCUCUGCGUGACUUUACUCCGCAGGCUUCGGGAGGUCCCCUGUACRAAUCAUUGCGACGUGGGCSCCGUUUGUCGUGUUGCUUGUUUGNCACNCAAAUCNUAUUGUUCUGUCUGGAGUCGGGAUGACGAAGGNCAAGAAUGAAGUGUCCGGGGUGAUGCUGCNUACAUGGGGNAANNCCUCUCGGAUUUGUAUGAGCAGCGAUUCCCGG
rnacentral:misc_RNA from 1 species